rnacentral:rRNA from 1 species
UACGUAGGGGGCAAACGUUGUUCGGAAUUACUGGGCGUAAAGCGCGUGUAGGCGGCUAUGUAAGUCGGGCGUGAAAUCCCACGGCUCAACCGUGGAAGUGCACCCGAAACUGCGUAGCUAGAGUCCUGGAGAGGAAGGUGGAAUGCUUGGUGUAGAGGUGAAAUUCGUAGAUAUCAAGCGGAACACCGGUGGCGAAGGCGGCCUUCUGGACAGUGACUGACGCUGAGACGCGAAAGCGUGGGGAGCAAACAGG